CACUGCUUCUCAACCAAUAGAAAGACUGCCCUUCCUCCGGGUGACAUUGCAAUGGCAGCGCGGGUUCUGCUGAAGCUUUGGGCGCCCGUGUGCUGGAAUAAUACCCGGAGGAACAGCGGCCAGGCGGCGGGGUACUGUGUGGAGUUGGUCAGAAAGCGUGACUAUGAAGGCUUUUUGUGCACGCUGUUAUUACCUCAAGAAUCUCAGAACUCCGUGUUUGCCCUUCGAGCGUUUAAUGUAGAAUUGUCUCAGGUGAAGGACUCUGUCUCCCAGAAGAACCUUGGUUUGAUUCGGAUGCAGUUCUGGAGGGAUACAGUUCAGGAUAUAUACAAAGAUAAUCCCCCACAUCAUCCAGUCGCCCUAGCACUGUCCCAGGCAGUCCAAAAGCACCAGCUGACCAAAAGAUGGCUCACAAGGAUGAUUGAUGCAAGAGAACAGAACCUGGAUGAUAGAACGUAUCGGAAUAUUCAAGAUCUUGAAGCAUAUGCUGAGAACACACACAGCUCCCUGCUGUAUCUUAUUCUGGAGACUCUUGGUAUAAAAGAUGUCCAUGCAGACCAUGCGGCCAGCCACAUUGGAAAAGCUAACGGCAUUAUCACCUGCUUGAGAGCGGUACCCUAUAACAGCAGCCGACGUCAGGUCUUUCUUCCCAUUGAUAUCUGCAUGCUGCACGGGGUUUCACAGGAGGAUUUCAUCAGAGGCAGCCUGGAGAAAAAUGUCAGAGAUGUCAUAUUUGAUAUAGCCGGCCAAGCCCAUGUUCACCUAGAACACCUUAACAUCAUAGAAUCUUCUAUGAAAAGGCAAUUGAAACUCAACUGUAAUUGGACCUUUCAACAUGACAAUGACCCUACACAUUCCAAUAAUGAAUGGCUGAAAAUAUUAAAUGGAGGGUUUUGGAAUGACCAAGUCAAAGACUGGUAGACCAUUAUAAGAUAUACCUACUUGAGAUUGUUUUUGCCUAAGGGGCAAUACCAGGUAUAAGAGGCUCGGUCUUUUAAGAAAAGAGUUCAGAAAUCAGCCUUCCCUGCUUUUAAUAUCACAGUCGCCCUGGAUUGGCACUUAAAAACCCUUCGAAAGGCUGACUUCAAUAUAUUCCAUCCAAGCGUACAGAGGAGAAAUACCUUGCUUCCAUUAUCUUUGUAUGCUCGAUCAUGGAAACAAUCCUACUGAAAUAAAUGCAAAGUAUUUAAUUUUUAAAAA